rnacentral:rRNA from 1 species
CUACGUGCCAGCAGCCGCGGUAAUACGUAGGUGGCAAGCGUUGUCCGGAUUUAUUGGGCGUAAAGCGAGCGCAGGCGGUUCCUUAAGUCUGAUGUGAAAGCCCCCGGCUCAACCGGGGAGGGUCAUUGGAAACUGGGGAACUUGAGUGCAGAAGAGGAGAGUGGAAUUCCAUGUGUAGCGGUGAAAUGCGUAGAUAUAUGGAGGAACACCAGUGGCGAAGGCGACUCUCUGGUCUGUAACUGACGCUGAGGCUCGAAAGCGUGGGUAGCAAACAGGAUUAGAUACCCUGGUAGUCCACGCCGUAAACGAUGAGUGCUAAGUGUUAGACCCUUUCCGGGGUUUAGUGCCGCAGCUAACGCAUUAAGCACUCCGCCUGGGGAGUACGACCGCAAGGUUGAAACUCAAAGGAAUUGACGGGGGCCCGCACAAGCGGUGGAGCAUGUGGUUUAAUUCGAAGCAACGCGAAGAACCUUACCAGGUCUUGACAUCCCUCUGACCUCUCUAGAGAUAGAGAUUUC